GGAAUAUAAGAACCCGUCUCUUAACUUUUAACUAAAAAAAUUAAGAACCGGUUUUUAGCUUUUUAGUUAAAAGUUAAGAGACGGAUUCUUAUAUUCC
rnacentral:pre_miRNA from 1 species